ACGGAGGGUGCGAGCGUUAAUCGGAAUCACUGGGCGUAAAGCGCGCGUAGGCCGUUUCGUAAGUCAGGGGUGAAAUCCCACCGCUCAACGGUGGAACUGCCUUUGAAACUGCGAGACUUGAGUACGGGAGAGGGUGGCGGAAUUCCAGGUGUAGGGGUGAAAUCCGUAGAUAUCUGGAGGAACACCGGUGGCGAAGGCGGCCACCUGGCCCGUAACUGACGCUGAGGUGCGAAAGCGUGGGUAGCAAACAG
rnacentral:rRNA from 1 species